UAACUCUGGCGUGUCCUCAUUUGCGGAUAAAUCUGUCGCAUUUUGCUAAAGAUUUCCAUGGGGAGGCACAAUACAAUGAGUCUUAUCUCAUUUGUAAUUUGUGCUUCGGCAGUACAG
rnacentral:snRNA from 1 species